CCCUUAGAUGUUCUGGGCCGCACGCGCGCUACACUGACGAAUGCAACGAGCUUAUAACCUUGGCCGAAAGGUCUGGGUAAUCUCCAAAUUUCGUCGUGAUGGGGAUAGAUUAUUGCAAUUAUUAAUCUUCAACGAGGAAUGCCUAGUAAGCGCAAGUCAUCAGCUUGCGUUGAUUACGUCCCUGCCCUUUGUACACACCGCCCGUCGCUCCUACCGAUUGAAUGGUCCGGUGAGGCUUUGGGAUCUGAGCGGAAAGAGCGUUUCGCUGUUUCUGCUCGGAAAACUCAGUCGAACCUUAUCAUUUAGAGGAAGGAGAAGUCGUAACA
rnacentral:rRNA from 1 species